rnacentral:rRNA from 1 species
GUGCCAGCAGCCGCGGUAAUACGUAGGGCGCAAGCGUUGUCCGGAAUUAUUGGGGCGUAAAGAGCUCGUAGGCGGCUUGUCACGUCGGGUGUGAAAGCCCGGGGCUUAACCCCCGGGUCUGCAUUCGAUACGGGCUAGCUAGAGUGUGGUAGGGGAGAUCGGAAUUCCUGGGUGUAGCGGUGAAAUGCGCAGAUAUCAGGAAGGAACACCCGGUGGCGAAGGCGGAUCUCUGGGCCAUUACUGACGCUGAGGAGCGAAAGCGUGGGGAGCGAACARGAUUUAGAUACCCCUGGUAGUCC